rnacentral:lncRNA from 1 species
AUGGGCAAGUGAGACUAAGCCGUGACGUCGACGUUGCCCUGGCAACCUAGGGACACUCUUGGAGUUGUUGGACCGCCCAACCCGUGACUUGCGCUCUGUAAGGUCGUGACCUGUGUGUGCGGAAAAAACCUAAAAUGAGCCUGGUUUAAGAGCUACCACAGGUGCUGGACUCUUCUAGAAAACCUGUCGCGUCGGUUUGGUCUCCUUUAUAACACCGUUAACUGGUUGGAAUAUACCAAUAAAUAUGCUGUUACUGCUCAAACAAACCACUUCCUUGUGUUGCCAUCUUCAAUCAAAAUGUAGACUGCUAUAGCUGGGGAGGAUGAAGAUCUAGCACCACACACUAUCUUCUUAUCUUCCCAUUCUGCUUUCAACAUAAACCAGAGACCAUUAGGAACACAGCUGAAAGCAAGUUAAAUUUAUUAUUUUCUGCAACAAAGAAGACCCUACAUCAUAGAGAGCAAAGAAAAAUUAAUAAAAGGAGAGAGGAACGGAAAAAGCAUGACAUGUGCAACAGGGACUCUUUGGAAAGGAAGCUGCACUUAUUGGCAAGGUGAUGAAGCCAAGGAAAAAAGAAAGGCUACCAUCUGUGUUUCUUUUCUGAAGUGAAGCUGGAAGGAACUCACUCACAAGCUCUACCGGACAGAACAGUCAAGGCAAUGGAAUCCGUCUAUUCUCCCUGAAGGAAGUAAGCAUCCAAUGCUUGGGAAAUUGCAGUUAAAUUAAAUGUCAAAAUACUUUCAGCUGAAUUGUCAGGCUCCUCUGCUUUAACUGGUGUCAUC